AGCAAUCUACACACAUACACUCACACACCCCGUCCCUUUCCCUCCUCGCAGAAGCCGAGGAGAUGCCAUGUGAGGGUGCAGCGAGGAGUUGGGCUGUCUAAAAGCAAAGAAAGAGAUUGCAUCAGACACCGCAUCUGCUGACACCUUGUUCUUGGACUUCCAGCUUCCAAAACCGCGAGAAAUAAAUGUCUGUGUCUAAACCCCAACCCUACCACCUCAACUGCCGUGUGUGGUGUUUUGUGAUGGCAGCCCCAGCUGACUGAGACACCUGGUUAGACCGGAAUAAGCAGUACCUGAGUCCCUUAAGAGUGGCCAAAGAAGAAAGAAUCCACUGAGUUGACAUUCCAGUUCAGCUGCAAUCGGUAGCAGUCACCAUUGAACAUCCUUGAAGCAAUUCUUCCAAAAUUACCUUGCAUCAAAGACUGCACAAGAACUGCUCUAAGCGGAAGGACUGAUGUCGGCAACCAGGGUUCCACCAGGGGCUGCAGACAGCCCUUGACCUUCAGGUGGGAAGGUGUCACUGAGUUCAGACCCUCUGGCAAUCCCUAGCUAUCAACAUUUUGAUAAGAAAAUAAGUGGAAAGGUAGAACUGGAAGAUUUUGCUGAAAGAUUGGACAUGGCAUUCAGAGAAACAGAGGUUUUAAUGACAAACUCCAAGUUUUUGGCUGGAGCAACUGGAAGAAUGAGGUUGCCAUGAACCGAAAAGAGAGAUUGCAGAAGUAACCAAAUUUACUCACGUAGGCCAGGAAUUUCUAUGACGUGUUCCAAAUUCAGCCUCUCACUGAACACUUCCAGAGCAAGGCAACAUAAACAUCUGCAAGAAGAACAUUGUGUGAGAAAUAUCAAGUGAGAGUGGAAGAGUCUGCGGAGGGCCUCCCUGGGGCUCACCUGUGCUUUUGCCUGAGCUUCACCGUGUCAAGCACUUUUUCCCUCUGGAGGAAGCAGCUUUCACCUUGGAAGAAUCUUGACCUUGCCAUUCAAAGUCACCAGACAGGGAAUCUGCCAGUGCCUUGAUCUUAGACUUCCCAGCUUCUGUAACUGUGAGCAAUAAAUGUAUGCUGCUUAUAAACUA
rnacentral:lncRNA from 1 species